UUUUAACAGCAAUGCCAAACAAGCCCUAUAUAUUCUUUAAAAUUUUCGAUUGUUUUGAUUCGUAUUUCUAUAGCCAUAGAAGCAAAUUGAAUCUAUGGCAUAUGACACAAAAUUACCAACUUAUUGAGUUCAGAUUUUCUCUUAGUGUUAGUGUUGGACUAGUGAAGAAGGGGUUGGCUCUCUAGUCUCUCCCUUCAAUAUCACAUGUUUAUGUUCUCAUAAAUAGGUUUUGGCUAUCCUACCAAGUUCUCUACAUCUUAUACAAUUACUCUCAUGCCAAGGCACCGGUGAUUUUAGGUUAAUAUUCUCAAUCUUUCUCCUAUUUCUUUGUUACCAUACACUUGACAAACUAUUUUUCUUUCUCCCUUCUUUAAAAUUUCAUCCAUAGGUGAUAUUUCCACCACCUUGCAGACAUAGGUUAUAUUUAUGUCCAUUUUUCUUUUUACCAUCAAUAACUAUUUUUCUUCGAGCUGAAGUGCUACUAUUUAAACCUACAUAUUUUGUUUUUAUCAAUACUCUACGGAAUGGGAGGCCAAUAAUUUUGGUUUAGAGUAUUAGUACUGUCGGCAUAGCUGUGAGAUAUGGAGUCUGAAUCUAAUUAGAGUCUAAUCAACCCAAAAAAUUAAUUAAUUAAUUAAUUAAAGCUGGAGUGUUACUAUUUUAAUAAGAUGAUGACAUUGACAAGUAGUAGUUGCAGAAAAUUAUAUUAUGAGUUUACUGAAUCGAUUUAAAAUCUAAAUAGUUAUUCAUUACUUAAAUUUCAUGAUUUUAAUUUUACUAAAGAAGGAUAAAAAAAAGAAAGUAGCAUACAAAUUGUUAGCAUUGGUUGAAGUGAAUAUAAAUAAAAGUCUAAAUUUACAAAAAUAUUGAAAAAACUUAUGAUUGCAUUUUAAAAAAUGUAUAUAUUAGAGAAAUGUCCAUUAUAUGUAUAAUAAAUACACUUUGAUCAUUAAUUAUGAUGGGAUUUAUCAUGAUUAAUGGUUCUAAUGCUACCUUUGUAGAUGCAACAACUGUAUUUUGAAAUUUUUCUCAUUGAGGACUAGUUUUUAUUUUGUAAUUCAAGAAUAAUAAAAAAUGCGCAUCCAUUAUUUGAAAUUAUUAUCACGUUAUUGAUAGGAAAAAGUGUAGAGUGAAGGAGGAUCCCAUGCUCUUCUUGGAGAUUGAAAUGCCAGUUUGGCUACACUUUCUAAUGAAAUGAAUCACUUUCCCAUUACUUUUGAUUGUCACACUUGAAAGCCCCAGGACCAGUUCGCGUACGCAUGGUUUUGUUGAGCUUAUUUAGAACUUUUUCUUUUGUGGCAGCAUGGAAAGGAUCCUGGAAAGAUAUGAAAGAUGCUCAUUUACAGAACGACAAGUUGCUAAUGACUCUGAACAGCAGGGAAAUUGGUCUUUGGAAUGCCCUAAGCUCAUGGCUAGGAUUGAGAUCUUGGAAAGAAGCCUAAGGAACCUUGCAGGAGAAGAUUUGGAUCCCAUGAGUCUAAGAGAACUCCAACACCUGGAGCAACAGAUUGAUAAUGGUCUUAAGCGCGUUCGAGCAAGAAAGAACCAACUCUACCAUGAAUCCCUUUCAGAGCUGCAGAAGAAGGAUAAAGCAUUGCAUGAGCAAAACAGCAUGUUAAGCAAGCAGCUCAAGCAAAAUGAGAAGUCCAUGGCUGAGCAUGCUAACUGGGAGCAGCGAAAUCUUGGUCAGAACCCAACCUACUUCAUGCCACCGCCGAUGCUAUCACUUCCACCUCUAACCACUGGGUAUCAUCUCUCUCUCACCCUCUUUCCAUGACAGAUAAAAGAAAACUUUGAAUGCAUGCUUCUUUUUUUCAUAAAUAAAUAAGUAAAACAGAUUGAAACUAAGCUUUUUUUCUCGUCCAUCGUGGAGAACAGUGUUUGUGUAUAGGGCUAACAUUUAUGUUCUUGAUGAGUGGUGCAGUAGCACUCUCCAGACUAGAGAAUUCAUGAACGAAGAUGAGGAGGCUAUAGCUCAGAUUCAGCCCAAUACAAUUCAGAUACCACCUUGGAUGCUUCGUCAUGUCAAUGAAUAGGAAACUGACAGAUAGCCAUCAAGGUAUAAUUACAAGUAUGGCAUACUGAAGUGAAGAGUAUCACUUCUUUCCGCUGCCAUUAAUGUGGUAUAAAUUUCUACGUUGUAAAUCUGCUUCUGCAUAAUAAUGGAUUUAAUAUUUGAAAUAUUUCAAGACUAUGGAAAAUCUUACCACAUUGAAAAUUUUUAGAGAGUACUUAAAUUAACUGAAAUUAAAUUUCAUUAAUUUUGAAGAGCACAAGCACAAAAAACAAAAACCCCAAACUU
rnacentral:misc_RNA from 1 species